GAUUGAUCCAUAUUUCACUUUAUUAGUUUGUUGCAUUUAUGAAGGCUGGUCGUCUUCCUAGAGGAAUCAAACAUUAUGGGUUCCCAUACAAUUCGUACGUGUCAUGCUGGUAUAUCCCCUCUCUUUUUACUUUCCGAGUUUACUUUUAUUUCAGUUUCUAGGUGCACCUAAAUUUUCUUUAAGGGUGACAAGCACAUCCCUGGACAUAACAGAUAAUUGUUUUUUAGCUAUUGUAAACCUGAAGUGGUAUCCCCAUGAUAAUCUUUUGGAUUAUCUAACUGAAUCUAGAAUACAUACCAAGUGCCAUUGUUUGCUAACUAUGAUUUACAAUUCCUGCUUUCUAUGGAAUAAAUAAGAUUAUGUAGGUUUCAUAUCACACCCCCUUUGCAACUUUAUUAAAUGUAAAUAGCUUAGCCCUCUAUUGAUGAUGUCAUGUGGCUGCUCAUGUCUCGCUCUCUUGAUGACUAACUUUUUGAUGUCUUUAUCCUCUCAUAUAGUUUCUUAUUAUUAAAUAAUCAUAUGGGCUAUUGCUAGCCUAAGAAAACAUUUUCACGGUUUCUCUUAAAUAAGCAUUCAUUCUUUUUAGGGGAAGUAUGCACAUUCAUUUGUUGUUGUGAAAAAAGUGAGCUAAAUGCCAAAUAGCAGUGCUCCAGUUUACUUUCCAUACCGCAAAAUAUGUGUUUCACUAUAGUUUAUUCUUGAACAUAGUACUACAUGUUUCGUUUUUGCAUUUUGAAUUAGAAAACAACAACUCCAAUUCCAUAUGCUCAAUUUACUCUUUAAUUUGCAGGGUUACAAGUGAACUUAAAUGCCAUUUCCUGGAAAUCGGUGUAAGAUAACAUCACCCUUUAUGAAGUUCAAUUGUUUCAAUGCUCUUAGAAGCCAACCUGAGUACCAAGGACAGAAAUACACGACUAUGCC
rnacentral:lncRNA from 1 species